rnacentral:rRNA from 1 species
GACGAACGCUGGCGGCGUGCCUCAGACAUGCAAGUCGAACGAUUAAGACUCCCUUCGGGGAGUGCAUAAAGUGGCGCACGGGUGAGUAACACGUAAGUAAUCUACCUUCGAGUGGGGAAUAACAUCGGGAAACCGAUGCUAAUACCGCAUAAUGCAGCGGCAUCGAAAGAUGACAGUUGUUAAAGGAGCAAUUCGCUUGAAGAGGAGCUUGCGGCAGAUUAGCUAGUUGGUAAGGUAAUGGCUUACCAAGGCUACGAUCUGUAUCCGGUCUAAGAGGACGGUCGGACACACUGACACUGAAUAACGGGUCAGACUCCUACGGGAGGCAGCAGUCGGGAAUUUUGGGCAAUGGGCGAAAGCCUGACCCAGCAACGCCGCGUGAAGGAUGAAGUUUUUCGGAAUGUAAACUUCGAAAGAAUGGGAAGAAUAAAUGACGGUACCAUUUAUAAGGUCCGGCUAACUACGUGCCAGCCGCCGCCGUAA